rnacentral:rRNA from 1 species
GAUGAACGCUAGCUACAGGCUUAACACAUGCAAGUCGAGGGGAAACGACAUCGAAAGCUUGCUUUUGAUGGGCGUCGACCGGCGCACGGGUGAGUAACGCGUAUCCAACCUGCCCAUCACUUGGGGAUAACCUUGCGAAAGUAAGACUAAUACCCAAUGAUAUCUCUAGAAGACAUCUGAAAGAGAUUAAAGAUUUAUCGGUGAUGGAUGGGGAUGCGUCUGAUUAGCUUGUUGGCGGGGUAACGGCCCACCAAGGCAACGAUCAGUAGGGGUUCUGAGAGGAAGCUCCCCCACAUUGGAACUGAGACACGGUCCAAACUCCUACGGGAGGCAGCAGUGAGGAAGAUUGGUCAAUGGGCGAGAGCCUGAACCAGCCAAGUAGCGUGCAGGAAGACGGCCCUAUGGGUUGUAAACUGCUUUUAUAAGGGAAUAAAGUGAGAGUCGUGACUCUUUUUGUAUGUACCUUAUGAAUAAGGACCGGCUAAUUCCGUG